UCCUCACGUCAUCUUCCGCUCGGUGAGAGCGACGACCACGGGGAGGGCUCUGUGGUGGGCGGGACCUGGGGAGGAGGCGGAGUCCGCGAGCGCACCGCCCCCUAGAAGGCUUGCAGCCUCGGAGGAAAAGGCGAAGGGCCGGAUGUAUCCUCUCCACAACCAGGUUGCAGGUUCGAGAAUCCACAUGUUUGCUCUGUAUCCAUAUAUGGACGUGUGCUUCAAGGAAAAUUAACCCCAUCCACAGCUCCAAGAGUGACCCUGAAUUAGUGUAGACCAUUUAUUCUGCAGAGCAGGAUACGGAGGUUUGUUGACAUGGCUCCAAUCGACUGGCACGCGGAUCAUUUCGUAGAGCUGAAAGAUGACUAAAGCAUCUGCGAGGUCACUAAGACAGGAGGAAAAGAAAAUGAAGGAGAAGGAAAUGAUCCUGAAUGCACUAUGCUGUUUCACCCUUGAGAGCUUCUAGCAACACUGUUUCCUAAACCUGGAAGGCCCUUCCUCACCUCUUUCAUUUGUUUACACUCCUAAGGAUCAGCAUCAGUUAAGAUUAGGGCCAAGUUUCCUUGACCAGUCUCUUCCAGUGGGGAGGGAAGUGUUUCAAGCUACUUUGGUUCAGAGACACACCUGAAGACCCCCUUUGGUCUACUGAUUCCCUAUGCCCUCUGAUACUUUGGUUUCCUCUUAGCUGGUUAUUGAGAAAGUGGAAGUAAGUAUUAAACUGGACAAGCCCACAAGGGCCUCUAGUCUAGCAACAGAUGUAAUUCUCAGUCCAAAUUAACAGACUGACAUUCUCAUUAUAAUCUAAUCUAUCCGUGGCAUACAAAAAGGGAAACGAUACUUUAAUCUGCUAAUGCUAGCAUCUCUUUCCUCUCACAACCAGUUGUAUUUCUUUUUAAAAGCCAAUAAACCAGUUUUUUGUUUUUUUUUAGUAAAAGAUUUUGUGAUUAUAAGUGGGGGAUCCACCU